rnacentral:tmRNA from 1 species
GGGGUCGACUGGUUUUGACAGCGAGAUCAAUGGUAUUGUAAGCGUGUCGAGCGCUGGAAAAUAGCUCGUAAAUCUCAUAUUUCAACUUUUUUAAACGGCGAGAAUAACUACGCCCUAGCUGCAUAAUCUGAAUUAUAGUAAGAUUACGCCUCGGUCUACAAGGUAGACAAGCAGGAAGUCACUCGAGAGCCUUGGUUUACGGCAAUCGAUAUAGUGACUUCGUAAAAGUAAACCUAUCUCUUGUAGGACUUUGAUGCGAGAGAGAAAUUUAAUUGAAGAUAAGGGGUGCGUUGGUAGUCACUGACCGGCAAUCUCACGAAAAUCUAAACAGAGACUACACACGUAGAAAGCAGUAACAUUGCUUGUUUGGACGAGGGUUCGAAUCCCUCCGACUCCAC